GACGAACGCUGGCGGCGUGCCUAAUACAUGCAAGUAGAACGCACAGUUUAUACCGUAGCUUGCUACACCAUAGACUGUGAGUUGCGAACGGGUGAGUAACGCGUAGGUAACCUGCCUGGUAGCGGGGGAUAACUAUUGGAAACGAUAGCUAAUACCGCAUAAUAUUGAUUAUUGCAUGAUAAUUGAUUGAAAGAUGCUAUUGCAUCACUACCAGAUGGACCUGCGUUGUAUUAGCUAGUAGGUGAGGUAACGGCUCACCUAGGCGACGAUACAUAGCCGACCUGGAAGGGUGAUCGGCCACACUGGGACUGAGACACGGCCCAGACUCCUACGGGAGGCAGCAGUAGGGAAUCUUCGGCAAUGGACGAAAGUCUGACCGAGCAACGCCGCGUGAGUGAAGAAGGUUUUCGGAUCGUAAAGCUCUGUUGUAAGAGAAGAACGGGUGUGAGAGUGGAAAGUUCACACUGUGACGGUAUCUUACCAGAAAGGGACGGCUAACUACGUG
rnacentral:rRNA from 1 species